rnacentral:rRNA from 1 species
UACAUGUGGGGCAAGCGUUGUCCGGAUUUAUUGGGUUUAAAGGGUGCGUAGGCGGCUUUGUAAGUCAGUGGUGAAAUAUGGCAGCUCAACUGUCAGGGUGCCAUUGAUACUGCAGAGCUUGAGUACAGAUGAGGUAGGCGGAAUUGACGGUGUAGCGGUGAAAUGCUUAGAUAUCGUCAAGAACACCUAUAGCGAAGGCAGCUUACUAGGCUGUAACUGACGCUGAGGCACGAAAGUGUGGGGAUCAAACAGG